AUGAAACUCAAUUCUAAUAUAAAAACCCUAACCACAAAUUAUCCCCUUUUCAUUAUCAACACCAACAAAAUGAAAACCUUUCCCAAUUAUUCUAUUUCUCACAUAAUCAUACCUUUCUAUUGCUGGCGACGAAGGAAGUUAGAAGCCCAUAUAUUAAUCUUGAAGAACCUGGAAAGCAAAAAAAGAGUGAAAAAAAAAACCAAAUCGAUCGAUGCACUUCUGAAUACAGCCUUUCUAGGUCGCCCGGUGAUUGUAAUACCUCGUCAAUCUGAAUUUGGCUCCACGCAACUUCAAGACCCGUGA